UACGUAGGGGGCAAGCGUUGUCCGGAAUCAUUGGGCGUAAAGCGCGUGUAGGCGGCCCGGUAAGUCCGCUGUGAAAGUCCAGGGCUCAACCCUGGGAUGCCGGUGGAUACUGUCGGGCUCGAGUCCGGAAGAGGCGAGUGGAAUUCCUGGUGUAGCGGUGAAAUGCGCAGAUAUCCGGAGGAACACCGGUGGCGAAGGCGGCUUCCUGGACCGACACUGACGCUGAGGCGCGAAAGCUAGGGGAGCAAACGGG
rnacentral:rRNA from 1 species